rnacentral:rRNA from 1 species
UACAGAGGUCCCAAGCGUUGUUCGGAUUCACUGGGCGUAAAGGGUGCGUAGGCGGCCGGGUAAGUCUGAUGUGAAAUCCCGCAGCUCAACUGCGGAACUGCAUCGGAUACUCUCCGGCUAGAGGAAUGGAGGGGAGACUGGAAUUCUCGGUGUAGCAGUGAAAUGCGUAGAUAUCGAGAGGAACACCAGUGGCGAAGGCGGGUCUCUGGGCCGAUACUGACGCUGAGGAGCGAAAGCGUGGGGAGCGAACAGG